GGCACUCCUCUCUUGCUUGCGUUGCGCCUGUGAAAUCUGACAGCGGUGGCAGCAUGUCGUCCGAUCCGCAUUCAACUGAACGCUCGCCGACUGGUGCGGAAGAAGCGGCUUGCCUCGUUUCGUAGGGGCCCUCAAAGAAAAUCGUGAAGCUCACAGGCGCCCGGAAACUCGCCGACCUCCACGAAAGCCUGCGGACGGAAGGGUUCUGUAGCUGAUGACGGGCAGCGAUAUUCUAAUACAGAUCUUCCAACGACCGGUUCCAGUGCUACGUCGACAUGGGUGAAAGCACGACGCAGGAGGCGUGCCUGACAAUCUUCAAAAGAAAAUUGAAUGGAUUGCCUGCAAUUCCUCAU